GAUGAACGCUAGCUACAGGCUUAACACAUGCAAGUCGCGGGGCAGCAUGGGGGUUGCUUGCAAUCCCCGAUGGCGACCGGCGCACGGGUGAGUAACGCGUAUCCAACCUGCCCUUCACCACGGGAUAACCCGGCGAAAGUCGGACUAAUACCGUAUGUUGUCCAUUGACGGCAUCCGAUGUGGACGAAAGGGGUGCCGGUGAAGGAGGGGGAUGCGUCCGAUUAGCUGGACGGCGGGGUGAUGGGCCACGGUGGCGACGUUCGUUGGGGGUUCUGAGAGGAAGGUCCCCCACACUGGAACUGAGACACGGUCCAGACUCCUACGGGAGGCAGCAGUGAGGAAUAUUGGUCAAUGGGCGUAAGCCUGAACCAGCCAAGUAGCGUGCAGGAUGACGGCCCUAUGGGUUGUAAACUGCUUUUAUGCGGGGAUAAAGUGGCCCACGUGUGGGUUUUUGCAGGUACCGCAUGAAUAAGGACCGGCUAAUUCCGUG
rnacentral:rRNA from 1 species